rnacentral:rRNA from 1 species
UACGGAGGGUGCAAGCGUUAUCCGGAUUUACUGGGUUUAAAGGGUGCGCAGGCGGAUAUGUAAGUCAGUGGUGAAAUCUCUAGGCUUAACCUGGAAAUGGCAUUUGGGACUGCAAGGCUCGAGUGCGGCAGGAGGAGACUGGAAUUCCUGGUGUAGCAGUGAAAUGCGUAGAGUAUCAGGAGGAACACCGAUGGGCGAAGGCAGGUCUCUGGGCUGACACUGACGCUCAUGCACGAAAGCGUGGGGAGCGAACAGG